UUGCGGUUAAAAAGCUCGUAGUUGGAUUUCUGUUGAGAGCAGCGCGUCUACCUUUUGGGUAAGUAUGUUGCUUGGUCUCGGCAUCUUCGUGGGAAACGUUUCUGCGCUUGAUUGCGUGGGGCGGGGUUCACGACUUUUACUUUGAGGAAAUUAGAGUGUUCACGGCAGGCAUACGCCUUGAAUAUAUUAGCAUGGAAUAAUAACAUAGGGCUUACGGCCUAUUUUGUUGGUUUCUAGGCUGCAGGCAAUGAUUAAUAGGGACAAUUGGGGGCAUUCGUAUUAACGCGUCAGAGGUGAAAUUCUUGGAUUGCGUUACGACGAACUACUGCGAAAGCAUUUGCCAAGGAUGUUUUCAUUGAUCAAGAACGAAAGUAAGGGGAUCGAAGAUGAUUAGAUACCGUCGUAGUCUUUACCAUAAACUAUGCCAACUAAGAGAUGAGGCGUCGUUCUACUUUGACUCCGCUUCGCACCCUUAUGAGAAAUCAAAGUUUUUGGGUUCCGGGGGG
rnacentral:rRNA from 1 species